AGGAAAUUUCCUUAGCAAAAGAGGAAGUACCGCCUAAACUUUACACGUGAGCAAGAUGGCCGUGAAUCAAUCGAGCGCGAAGUAUUGCUCCAAUUGUGGAUUUUCUUUAGAAAAAAACUUUUGUUUUUGCCCAAAGUGUGGAAAAGACAUAAUAAAUAAUGCCAACAUCAAAGAAGAUGAAAAGGUCAAGACUGAAAUACCCUCCGCCAGUGCAAGUAGUAGCAGCAGAUUCGCGAUGCCAAGGUUUUCCUUGCCAAGCUUUCAUUUUGAUCUCUUUUUCUUAGGGGUUCAAAUUCUAUUGAACUCGUCCAUAGGGGGGGGGGGGGGAUGUACAUUAAAUGGAAUGGCCCUAUACAUAUUAGAGUGGAAAUGAAAUUUCAAUAAAAAAUGACUGGUAUUAAUAUACGAAUUCCGAAUAUCUUACUUUGUGAGGUAGUAUUCUUUAUUAACCAGAGGCAGGUUGUAUAAAAAAGUGAUUAAAGUUAAUCAUAGUUAAGUGGAAAUGUCAUCCAAUAAGAAGCGCCUAUUUGAGAGUUAAUCACUAUUUAACUACAAAAUAGUACUUUAAAAAAGUGAUUAAGAGUUUUAUUAUAUACAACCGGCCCCAGGUGACUGCUGGCAAUUCAUCCUUUCAGUUCAUCUUCACUGUCACUAAUAUACUCAAUCUAUCCGGAUUGGCUUCGUCAAAGAUGGGUAAAAGAUAUAAAUAUAUCCUAGAAUACCCAAAUCCCAAUCGCUUCUUUAUACCGCUGUAAAGUGAAUGGCUCUGGUGGGUCAGUGCCUGGAAUAAACUCAAUAUCGUCGCCAUCUUUGAAAACCAACAUGCAGUUGCUACCAUUGUCAUUCUCAAAACGCCUGUUAAAAUCACCAUGCUUUUUAAUCGCUGCUGCAAGAAUUUUAACGGAAUUGUUUCUCCCAAGGAAAACCUUGGAAUCUGCUGCUACUACUUGCACUGGCGGAGGGUAUUUCAGUCUUGACCUUUUCAUCUUCUUUGGUGUUGG